ensembl:processed_transcript 4631405J19Rik RIKEN cDNA 4631405J19 gene
GCAAGUGGGAGCCCUGCUCAGAUGAGCCAGCCUCCCCAGCUCCGAAGGUAGGCAGCCAGGCAGCCAGCCUCUGCGUUUCCUGUGGUGGCCUCCGAGCUGGUGACCUGUGUGGCAGACUGAGGACCUGGGAUGCAUCCAGCUGCCAGCUCGACUUCCUCUGGACUGCUCCCUACCCUGAGCCCCGCAGACUCGGAGCUCAAGUGGAUGACAUCUUGUGCUCCCAGAGGUACAGGAGGCCGGAAAUGAGAGCACAGGCAGCCAGGUCCCUGCAAGGAGCAGCUCAAGUAGAAUCUGGGAAGGUUCCCGAAUGGGAAAUGAAUCAUGAAAACCACGAAGACCUCCAGCAAGCAGACAUGCCUGGGUUCCAGUGAGCUGCCCAUUCUGCUGCCCUCAGAGUUCACAGGUGAGGGAGUGUCAGCUCCGAGAGGAUACUUGGGCAACUACAGGGACACGAUGAAGCAGGAUCUGAACCCAGACCCCUUGAUCUCCAGCCCUCAGGCAGCUGUUUCUAUUUGUGGGACCCAUGAGGAACACAGGAGCCACUGAAGGAGGGGUUCAUCUGAAGGCGAGUGAGUCAGCCUGUGCUAGAAGACUGGGAUGGAGCUAGCCAAGUUCACCUGUAAUUCCAGCACUUGGGAGGCUGAGGCAAGAGAAGCCCUGUGAAUCUGCAGCCAGUCUGGGCUACACGGUGAGGCUUUCCCAACUACACAUGGGAACUAACAACAGCGGCCAUCAUGGGUUAUUCUGAGGAGUAGUUGGCUCAUCACAAGGCACUGAACAUCAUCUAGCCAUAAGUAAGCACUCAGUACACAAGCGAUGUGU